UACGGGGGGGGCAAGCGUUGUUCGGAAUUACUGGGCGUAAAGGGCUCGUAGGCGGCCAACUAAGUCGGAUGUGAAAUCCCUCGGCUUAACCGGGGAACUGCAUCUGAUACUGGAUGGCUUGAGUUCGGGAGAGGGAUGCGGAAUUCCAGGUGUAGCGGUGAAAUGCGUAGAUAUCUGGAGGAACACCUAUGGCGAAGGCAGCUCUCUGGGACGGUACUGACGCUGAGACGCGAAAGCGUGGGGGGCGAACAGG
rnacentral:rRNA from 1 species